AAAUUACUUGAUAUUAACGAGGGAUCUUUCUACCAUUCUAACAUGCAUAGAAACAAAGAAGCAUAACAAUCAGAAAUAAACACAUAUUGUGAAAUAGUAUGGCUCCUUCAUGGACGUUCUUCCAGGUCGGCUCCGACUCCGAUGACCAUCUAGCAACUCCAUAUUGUUUGUCACGCUGGGAUGCCAAGGCACCAACCUGAUCUCUAUUAUCCAACUACUACAACUAGUAAUGAAUUUUACAUAGUCACAAGUCGACACGCAGGUCAUUAUACAUUAUAAUGGCAGCACUUUGGCUCCUGCAGGCUGACAAACAUAACGCAUAGGCCAUGUAUAAAUUACACACAUGCAUCACAUAGACAUGAGCCAUACUUGAUCAAUUGUAAUAUAGCGACGUUUUUACGCCCCAAUUUAUGAGUGUCGUGUUCUCCUCAGGGACUAGGCGACGGCAACUAUUCGGCUAAUGCUAGGUAAUACAAUUCAGAUGAAGGGAACAAAAAAUAAACCUAAACUAUCAAGAUUGUCGCCAAUGAAAAUGCGGAUAAGCAAAGGUAGAUUCAGAUUUUACUAACUUUCUUUAUGGUAUUUUUGUAAUUCUUGAGAAACUAAAACUCUAACACAAACGAGAAUCAAUAUUAGGGAAACCUGCUAGACAAGAACACAUAUAACUAUCAUACAUGAACAGAAUAUAUAUGACAUAUAUAGCUAGCACUCAUACAUUCUAAAUGAGAGUCACAAUGUAACAGUACAACUCUCACAACACAAACACUCACACAUAUAUAACUAGCAAUGACAGAAGGAAAGAAACAAGCUAAUAUGAUAGGGACAAAAAUAUAUCACAACACAAACAUAUAUGUUUUCACAUGAACAAAGUUAACAAAAACACUACAGAACACACAUCACACAUAUGCAAACAGGGGGAGGUUACAAGACAUAAUUCUAGUACUCUGAGAUGAACAACAUAAGUACUAUUAAUCAAGCACCAGUAUGAAACUGAACAAGUGUCAAGCACUACUCAAAUCUGAACAUUACAAAGCAUUACACAUCUCAGCUUACAGAAAAUUCAGAGAAAGAUAAUGAGGGAAACAGCAGUAGUAGGGGUUCAGAAAAGUACAACAACAAGGUUAGGAGAAGAGGGGAAUUAGGGAGAAGGUGCAGCAGCAGUUUUGGGGAGAAGGAAGCAGCAGAGGCGUGGAAAGAAGAGGAACAGCAGCAGCGUGAGGGGCUUAGAGAAUAGCAGCAGUAGAGAUUGAGGAGAGGAGCAGCUGGUUCGAGUUGAGAAGUGGAGGAGCAGCAGCAAGGCGAGGGAAGAAGGAGCAGCAGCAAGGCGUAGGAGAAGAAGAAGAGCAGCAGGGGCGUGAGGUGUGGGGAAGCGCUGUGGUGCUAGUGGCGGAGGUGUGGAUGGAGUGGUGGCAGGAGGCGAUGGUGGUGCUGGUGAAUGGAUGGCGCAGCGGCGCUGAUGUGGAUGGUGGCGCAGCGGAGAUGGAUGGAGAUGGUGGUGGCUGGGCUGCGGAGGCGCACCACCACGCCGGCCUGGCCGUGGCAGCGGCCUGAGGCGGAAGAAGUGGUGGGGGAGAAGAGAGAUGGAGAUAUGGCCAGGCCCGAUUGGGAAUGGAGGCUGC
rnacentral:rRNA from 1 species